UAUCCCCUCUGCUCUCACCUUCCUCGCUCGCUCGCGCAAAACCCAACCCAAAACCCCAGCACAACACCCUCCUCAUCUUCCUCUCAAAUCCACCUCCAUUUCUCCAAAAUCCCGCUCCAAUCCGCACCCAGCUCUCCGUCUCCCGUCCAUGGAGCUGCAGCGCACGCCCCUCCGCACCCUCCCGCUCCACCCCCGCGCCGCCACCCACCCCACCAAAGCCACGGCCACGGCGACGGCCAGCACCGUCUCCGCAUGCUCGGUGGUCGAACCCCAGUCUCUAAAACCCCGGCCGCAGUUCCCGCGUCCGGCGCCGCUCCACCGGCGCAGGCGGAGCAGCACCAUCCCCUUCGACCUCCCCGCCCUCUGCGCCGCCAUCGAGCAGCUGGUGGCCGCGGGGCGGCACCGGGAGGCCUGCGACGCGCUCCGGGACGCGCGCGCGGGGGCGACCUUCGCGGCCCUGCCGCCGCCCACCUACGACGCGCUGGUCACGGCCGCCUCGGCCCUGCGCGAGGCCGGGGACGCGGCGGCGGUGCUCUGGCACAUGGAGAGCGCCGGGUUCCAGCCCGACCAGUACAUGUGGAACCGGGUGCUCGGGAUGCUCCUAACGUGCGGCAUGCUCGCCGAGGCGCGGGAGGUGUUCGACGGAAUGCCGGCCCGCAGCCGGGUCACCUGGGGGGUCAUGAUGGGCGGGCUCGUCGACGGGAAGCGCCCCCGCGCCGCCCUGACACUCUUCAGGGAGCUCUGCGACGAGACGGGACCGACCGCUGGCCCGAGGGUGCUCGUGGUGGCCGUCCGCGCGGCCACCGUACUAGGCUCAAUCCACGCCGGACGCGAGCUCCACUGCUGCGUCGCCAAGAUGGGGGCACGCGAGGACCAGUACCUGCCGUGCGCGCUCAUCGACAUGUACAGUAAGUGCGGGCGCGUCGACGAGGCGAGGCGGGUGUUCGACGGGAUGACACCUUCUUGGAGAAACGUCGUGGCAUGGAACACGAUGCUGGCGGCGUAUUUGCUCCACGGCCGCAGCGACCAGGCGCUGGACCUCUACCACGGCAUGUGCGCGAGCGGCGUCCAGCUGGACCAGUUCACGUUCUCGACGAUGCUCGGCGUUUUCUCCAGGCUGGGUUUGCUGGAGCACGCCAAGCAGAUGCACGCUGGCCUGAUUCAGAGCGGGCUGCAGGUGGACAUCGUCGGGAACACGGCGCUCGUUGAUCUCUACUGCAAGUGGGGGCGGAUGGAAGACGCCAGGCAUGUUUUCGACAGGAUGCCGAGCAGGAACCUCGUAUCCUGGAACGCUCUGAUAGCGGGGUAUGGCUACCACGGCAUGGGGGCCAAGGCUGUUGAGAUGUUUGAAAGGCUGUUUGCUGAAGGGAUUGCUCCGAACCACGUGACGUUUCUGGGAGUGCUAAAUGCGUGCAGGUUUUCUGGGUUUAUCGACAGAGGGAAGAGGAUCUUCCAGUUGAUGGCUCAUAACCCGAAAACGAAACCGCGUGCGAUGCACUAUGCUUGUGUUAUCGAGCUUUUUGGCCGGCAGGGGCUGCUAGAUGAAGCCUAUUCGAUGAUAAGGAAAGCACCGUUCGCCCCAACCGCCAACAUGUGGGGAGCCUUGCUCACUGCUUGUAGGAUCAACAAGAACAUUCAGCUUGCUAGAUUAGCCGCGGAGCAGCUCCUGGCGAUGGAACCUCAGAAAGUGAACAAUUACAUUGUGCUUCUCAACUUGUAUAUUAGCUCUGGGAAACAUGAUGAAGCUUUGACUGUGGUUAACACCUUAAAGAAGGCAGGGUUACAUAUGGGGGCUGCUUGUAGCUGGAUCACAGUCAAGAAAAAAGAUCACGGGUUUUUCUUUAAUGAUAGUCUCAACCCAAAAAGUUCAGAAAUUUACCAGAGGCUAGAUACAUUAAUGGAGGAGAUAAAAGAACUGGGUUAUGUCACUGAGGAUGAUGAAUUGCUCCCAGAUAUUCUUCCUGAUGAGCAGGAGACGUUGAAAGUUUACCAUAGUGAAAAACUUGCAGUUGCUUUUGGCCUUAUUAGCACAUCUCCAUCUGCUCCCUUGACGAUCAAUCAAAACCAUCGGUUAUGUCGUGACUGCCACAAGGUUAUCAAAUUUGUGUCAAAAGUUACAAAGAGAGAGAUUACUGUAAGAGAUGCUAGCAGGUUUCAUCACUUCAAACUUGGAACAUGCUCUUGUGGUGACUACUGGUAACUAGGCCUGCGCUUGCAAUUUGAUGGAAUUAAAACCAAGCAAUUAUUGAGUAACGUGCAGAAUCUAGGUUGCAUGUUGAGCAGUUGUUACCCUAUAGUAUGUUGUGGUAAACAAAAUUUCCGAUGGUUGAUCACUCAAAAGUACUAAAGCCA